GCCCAGGUGGCCUAGUUGGUUAGGGCGCCAGACUCAUAGGGUAAUUUGAAGAGGCGCUUUUGCUUCCUGAGAAAUCUGGAGGUCACGGGUUCGGAUCCCGUCCUGGGCA
rnacentral:tRNA from 1 species